rnacentral:rRNA from 1 species
CAGUAGCCACGGUAAUACGUAGGGUCCGAGCGUUGUCCGGAAUUAUUGGGCGUAAAGGGCUCGUAGGCGGUUUGUUGCGUCGGGAGUGAAAACCCAGGGCUUAACUUUGGGCUUGCUUUCGAUACGGGCAGACUUGAGGCAUUGAGGGGAGAACGGAAUUCCUGGUGUAGCGGUGAAAUGCGCAGAUAUCAGGAGGAACACCGGUGGCGAAGGCGGUUCUCUGGCAAUGUUCUGACGCUGAGGAGCGAAAGUGUGGGGAGCGAACAGGAUUAGAUACCCCCGUAGUCCCUGUCUCUUAUAU